UCAUAUUCAAAUCCUAUAACUUAACAUAAGAAUAAAUGAAUGAUGAAUCCUAGAUUACACUGUAGGUGGCAAGCAUUGAUAAUAAAAUGAAAUAAUAAAACACCAACAAUGUUGAUGAACUGUUAAAAUAUACACAUUUAGCAAAGCACAACCAUAUACUAGCUUAUUAUGCAUUAGUUUGAAGCAUAUAACAAGAAGUUAUAAAACAAAGCUAAAAACCAAGUGAUAACAAAUACCUCUACACAUUACUGAUUUUGGAAUGUCCAUUUGUUUCACUAAAAUUCUUCAUGAGAAUCCAGAAAAAUCCUUUGGUGGUUCAAUCCAUAUGCUUUCAAAAGGGUCUUGUUCACCCCAGUCAUGCCACUGCUUACGAGGAUAGU
rnacentral:lncRNA from 1 species